GUGGGGAAUAUUGGACAAUGGGCGAAAGCCUGAUCCAGCCAUGCCGCGUGUGUGAAGAAGGUCUUCGGAUUGUAAAGCACUUUAAGUUGGGAGGAAGGGCAGUAAGUUAAUACCUUGCUGUUUUGACGUUACCGACAGAAUAAGCACCGGCUAACUUCGUGCCAGCAGCCGCGGUAAUACGAAGGGUGCAAGAGUUAAUCGGAAUUACUGGGCGUAAAGCGCGCGUAGGUGGUUUUGUAAGUUGGAGGUGAAAGCCCCGGGCUCAACCUGGGAACUGCCUCCAAAACUGCAUGACUAGAGUACGGUAGAGGGUAGUGGAAUUUCCUGUGUAGCGGUGAAAUGCGUAGAUAUAGGAAGGAACACCAGUGGCGAAGGCGACUACCUGGACUGAUACUGACACUGAGGUGCGAAAGCGUGGGGAGCAAACAGGAUUAGAAACCCGUGUAGUCC
rnacentral:rRNA from 1 species